GGCCUAAUACAUGCAAGUCGAGGGAGAUUGUUGGAUUCGUCUGACAUGAAACCGGCGCACGGGUGCGUAACACGUAUGCAACCUACCUUUAACUGGGGUAUAGCUCAGAGAAAUCUGAAUUAAUCCCCCAUAAGACUACGACAUGGCAUCAUGAUGUAGUUAAAGCUCCGGCGGUUAAGGAUGGGCAUGCGGUACAUUAGCUAGUUGGUGAGGUAAUGGCUCACCAAGGCUACGAUGUAUAGGGGGUCUGAGAGGAUGAUCCCCCACACUGGUACUGAGACACGGACCAGACUCCUACGGGAGGCAGCAGUAGGGAAUAUUGGUCAAUGGACGCAAGUCUGAACCAGCCAUGCCGCGUGAAGGAUGAAGGCCCUAUGGGUCGUAAACUUC
rnacentral:rRNA from 1 species